AAAUGCUGCUGUUUAAUUAAAAGAAGCAAAGUAGUAUAGAAACCAACUCAGUCACUGGUGCCCCUCAUCCUGAGUUACAAAACUCUGAAGAUUUAUUUACUCAUUUGAGAUCUUACAAUUCUUUAGUUGUUACUGAGAAUAAUAAAACUGAACAAAGUAAUGAAUUUGAAAUGCCUCUCAGAGAGAGGCACUCCUCAAAGUCGAAUGAGAAAUGUGUAACUUCCAGUGCAAUAAAUAGAUUUAAAUCAAAUACAGAUGCAAAAUGUGUGCGGCCAGCUGCUCCUUGCUUGCCUGACAAGCAUAAGAGAGAGGACAGGAUCAUGAAUCCAGAAACAAUGUUGCUGAUUCCUCCCCACCGUCACACAUGACUCAUGAAAUACAAUCCCCAACAGACUCGUUGCUUCUCUCCUCCUGGGGCUUGCCUGAGCAGAUCACUGCCGCCACAUCGCCAAGAUGUUUCCCUGGCAUUCUGAGUUCUUUGCUAAGGGCAGGGAAUUGGAUGGGGGAAACCUGGCCAACUCGGCCCCCCCCCAGCACUGGCAAGACCCUGGUGGCCGAGCUGUUGAUCUUGAAGAGGGUAUUGGAGGCAAAGAAGAAAGCCCUCCCGAUUCUGCCGUUUGUCUCUGUGGUGAGGGAGAAGAUGUUCAACUUUCAGAUGAAUGCAUCAUGCUCUAGAAUGUACAGUAAAAAGUACCUGUAGUACUUUCUGGCAUCCACAUGAAGAAGCUGGCUUCAAGUCUUUCUCUGCUUCAUACACUGACAGAAAUCUUCUUUUGCGAUUCCAACUCAAGGCAUGUCUCAAGAUGCAGGAGUCCGUGUUGGUGGGUAUAUGGGUAGUGAGUCACCUACUGGUGGGUUCAAGGCAAUUGACCUUGCUGUGUGUACCAUUGAGAAAGCUAACAGUCUUGUAAAUGGACUACUGGAGGAGAACUAAGCCCAUCAACUGGUCACCAUCUAAUGUUACCAUAACAACUGCUUUGAAUGGUCGCCUGCAUCACUCUUUUCAAUAAGAAUCCAUCACCAACAUUCCAUCCAUUAAUUUGGACGUCAUUGUGGUUGAUGAGCUGCACAUGAUGAGAGACGUCCAGGGAGGAUCUUCUGCAGUUUCGGCUCACAAAGGUCUGCUACAUCACCAAGAAGGGAAGCGAUGCUUCAAAAACACUGCAGUGCAAUGUGUCCGGUACCCACCAACUCCAUCCGGAUUGUGGGUAUGAGUGCUACCGUCCCCAACUUAGACCACCUGGCCCAGUGGCUAGAAGCUGACCUGUACUGCACUGACUUCUGUCCCGUACCCCUGACCCACUGCAUGAAGGAAGGCCUGGUAAUCUACAACUCUACCCUGGCCAAGUUGUUGGAGAUGGACCAGCCCCUGGCCCCACCCUUCGGGGGAAUGUACUCAUCUUCUGCCAGACGAAGAACUGGUGUAAGAAGCUGGUUGAGAACAUGCCCCGAAAGAUUUUGUGAUUGAGUAAGAUGGUCCCUGGUCAAAGCAAGGGUAUAACAAUGCCUUUUGUGAUGCACUGUAAGUCAAGGACUGCUAAAUUUGAUACCUUUACAUAGGUGUUGCCAUCCUACCUGUACUUUUGCACAUAAUAUAUGUACAUGUCUCUAAACACAGUAAGUGUGCUAUCAAGUAGGUUGCCAAAAUUAUUUAAGGCGUGAUGUAGUGCACUUAAUAGAUGAGCUGCAGUUGCCAUCGUUGUUAUGCUUUCUUGAGGCCACACUUGCAUUCUCUGUAAUUGUGGGGACAUGCACUUGUAUUUUCACCCAAGACAAAAUGCUGUGGAGACAUUUAUUUGUCUCCCAAACUUGAUUUCAGCAAAGUGGGAACGCCAUUUUAAGGUGGAAGAUUAAGUGGUAAUAGUGCUUUAAAAUAUAAAAAUUCGACAUUUUCUUCUGGUCUUGUUAGACCUCAAACUUCCACAAAUGCUGUUGAGCAAUAAUUUAAGUCAGUGAGUAAAGGUCUACUUGUGGUGUUUUCAUGGAAACAGUUAUACCUGUAUAUUUUAUGCCUAAAUGUAUCUCUCUGGACCAAGAAACUGGAACGAUCUUGCCCCUUAACUUAUUGCUCUUUGAAUAAUACUUUCAAAAUACAAAUUAAACACAUUCCUGUAUCAAUGUAAAGGUACCUAAUUCAUCAUCUUUGUAGGUGGUUUAGCCAUCACUGAGACAUUAUUGAUUGUUGUGUCUACCCAUAUAUUUAACGUUUGGUAUUAUUUCUAAAACUUUAUAAUGGGUAUUGUUUUUCUUGCUCACUUUAACUGCUGUUUUGUGUUGCUGUUUCUAAAUUCUUUAACCUAACCCCUUAGGGUGUGUGUCAAAUAAUAAUGAAAUUAGAGGAGUGAGGACUGUUGGAGUUGUGCUGUAAGUCUUGUUUCGCCUGUAUUGUUGGGCAAGAGUACAACAAGCUUCGGUUUUCAGGGUGAUUCCUCCAAAAUGUUGAAGCCAAUGUUACAAACAUGUAAUUGGAUUUAAUGUUGAGUUUCCAAAAAUUAUUUACUCUUUCUCAGGGGUCAGGAACCCUGUAUGCUCCCUUCUUGGAACCGCUCCAGCGGUAAAUUUAAAAUACUUUACAAUACAUGUAUGUCUUUGCGCUGCACAGUACGUGCACAUCGUAAUUUGUGGUACUUUUCCGUGAAUAAUUAAUUGCCCUGUAAUUAUUUUUCAAGGAUGCAAAACUGUGAAGGAAAUGAAAGCUGAAAACAUGUAAUGAA
rnacentral:lncRNA from 1 species